GCCCGGAUAGCUCAGCCGGUAGAGCAUCAGACUUUUAAUCUGAGGGUCCAGGGUUCGAGUCCCUGUUCGGGCG
rnacentral:tRNA from 1 species